UACAAAAUUAUUCACAACCUAAAAGCUGAGAGUUCUGUUUCAUUUGAUGGGAAUUUUUAGGACUUCAAGCCAGGAAGGGUGCAUCUCAAAUAACCCUGAGAACUGCUGCGGGGAAAGCAAGGGAGACAACCAAGGCAAAUUCUUUAGCAUCUGAGCCACCUGGGAAGAUCUGUUUCAGAGGUACAGCAUUAUAAUUCAACACCUGAACUCUCUGCAAAGUGAUCACAAGUCUGGUCAGCAUCCAUCACUGUGCUGUUGAUGUCCUUUCCCUCAGGCUCCCACUCUUCAAGGUUGGUGCCUCCCCAAGCUCCUGCUCUGCUCUUGGCCCAGUUCCUAUCCAGGGCCAAGAUCCUCUCCAUUGUCUGAUGGAAGAAGAACACUGAGGGUCAGGUGAGGAUGGUCUCUAUCAGACAAUGGAAGAAAGAACUCGAGGGUGAGAGACUUUUGUCCCUCUCCUAAGGAGCAGCCAGUGAAUAACACCAGCUCCCUCAAGAGGACAGGCCAUGGUGAAAAUGCCUGCAGGGGAAGGAGUGCCUUGUGGGUGUCGGUGACCUAAGGGAACAAUGGAAAGAGAAGGCCAGGUCCUGUUGUCUUGUGUUCACUCUCCCGGGCCCCUGUGGUCUCAUGUUUGCUCUGCCACUGACCAGAUCGGGGCUCAGACACUGCUCAGGUCACUCCUUGAUGAUUCCAUUUCUUCAUCCAAAAAUUAA